UGGGGAAUUUUGCACAAUGGGCGCAAGCCUGAUGCAGCGACGCCGCGUGAGGGAUGAAGGCCUUCGGGUUGUAAACCUUUUUCGCUCAUGGUCAAGCCGCAGCUUUGGGUUGUGGUGAGGGGAGUGGGUAAAGAAGCGCCGGCUAACUACGUGCCAGCAGCCGCGGUAAUACGUAGGGCGCGAGCGUUGUCCGGAAUUAUUGGGCGUAAAGGGCUUGUAGGCGGUUGGCCGCGUCUGCCGUGAAAUCCUCUGGCUUAACUGGGGGCGUGCGGUGGGUACGGGUUGACUUGAGUGCGGUAGGGGGGACUGGAAUUCCUGGUGUAGCGGUGGAAUGCGCAGAUAUCAGGAGGAACACCGGUGGCGAAGGCGGGUCUCUGGGCCGUUACUGACGCUGAGGAGCGAAAGCGUGGGGAGCGAACAGG
rnacentral:rRNA from 1 species